rnacentral:rRNA from 1 species
AUUGAACGCUGGCGGCAGGCCUAACACAUGCAAGUCGAGCGGAGCGGCGGCAGGGGGAGGAAUGCCGAUGAAUCGGCCUGUUAGUGGGGGAGAAGGUCCGGUAACGGGCGCCAAAACCACAUACUCUCAGAGGAGGCUAGGUCGGAUUAGCAAGUUGGUGGGGUAAAGGCCUACCAAGGCGACGAUCCGUAGCUGGUCUGAGAGGAUGAACAGUCACACUGGAACUGAGACACGGUCCAGACUCCUACGGGAGGCAGCAGUGGGGAAUAUUGGACAAUGGGCGAAAGCCUGAUCCAGCCAUGCCGCGUUUGUGAAGAAGGUCUUCGGAUUGUAAAGCACUUUAAGUUGGGAGGCGUUACCAACAGAAUAAGCACCGGCUAACUUCGUGCCAGCAGCCGCGGUAAUAC